GCCCACUUGGCCAAGUGGCUACGGCACUCCACUCGUAAUGGAGCGAUCGUCGGUUCGAUUCCGACAGUGGGCA
rnacentral:tRNA from 2 species